rnacentral:rRNA from 1 species
AACGAACGCUGGCGGCAUGCCUAACACAUGCAAGUCGAACGAGACCUUCGGGUCUAGUGGCGCACGGGUGCGUAACGCGUGGGAACCUGCCCUUAGGUUCGGAAUAACUCCCCGAAAGGGGUGCUAAUACCGGAUAAUGUCUUCGGACCAAAGAUUUAUCGCCUUUGGAUGGGCCCGCGUUGGAUUAGCUAGUUGGUAGGGUAAAAGCCCACCAAGGCGACGAUCCAUAGCUGGUCUGAGAGGAUGAUCAGCCACACUGGGACUGAGACACGGCCCAGACUCCUACGGGAGGCAGCAGUGGGGAAUAUUGGACAAUGGGCGAAAGCCUGAUCCAGCAAUGCCGCGUGAGUGAUGAAGGCCUUAGGGUUGUAAAGCUCUUUUACCCGGGAUGAUAAUGACAGUACCGGGAGAAUAAGCUCCGGCUAACUCCG